rnacentral:rRNA from 1 species
GGGUCUCGUACGAGUCUCUGGGUCACCUCCCACCCGUGUCUAUUGUACCUUGUUGCUUCGGCGGGCCCGCCGUCAGGCCGCCGGGGGGCAUCUGCCCCCGGGCCCGCGCCCGCCGAAGACCCAACAUGAACACUGUUCUGAAAGCUUGCAGUCUGAGUUGAAUAUCAUAAUCAGUUAAAACUUUCAACAACGGAUCUCUUGGUUCCGGCAUCGAUGAAGAACGCAGCGAAAUGCGAUAACUAAUGUGAAUUGCAGAAUUCAGUGAAUCAUCGAGUCUUUGAACGCACAUUGCGCCCCCUGGUAUUCCGGGGGGCAUGCCUGUCCGAGCGUCAUUGCUGCCCUCAAGCACGGCUUGUGUGUUGGGCCGCCGUCCCCGCCUCCCCGGGGACGGGCCCGAAAGGCAGCGGCGGCACCGUGUCCGGUCCUCGAGCGUAUGGGGCUUUGUCACCCGCUCUGUAGGCCUGGCCGGCGCCAGCCGACGUACCAACCCUUUUUCUUUAGGUUGACCUCGGAUCAGGUAGGGAUACCCGCUGAACUUAAGCAUAUCAAUAAGGCGGAGGAAAAGGGGAGGGGACAGAGAGGGGGAA